rnacentral:rRNA from 1 species
AACGGCGAGUGAAGCGGCAAAAGCUCAAAUUUGAAAUCCUGCGGGAAUUGUAAUUUGAAGGUUUCGUGGUCUGAGUCGGCCGCGCCCAAGUCCAUUGGAACAUGGCGCCUGGGAGGGUGAGAGCCCCGUAUGGCGCACGCCGACUCUUUGCACCGCGGCUCCGACGAGUCGAGUUGUUUGGGAAUGCAGCUCUAAGUGGGUGGUAAAUUCCAUCUAAAGCUAAAUAUUGGCGAGAGACCGAUAGCGAACAAGUACAGUGAUGGAAAGAUGAAAAGCACUUUGAAAAGAGAGUGAAACAGCACGUGAAAUUGUUGAAAGGGAAGGGCUUGCAAGCAGACACGGUUUUACCGGGCCAGCGUCGAAAAGGGGGGAGGAACAAGAACUCGAGAAUGUGGCGCGCACCUUCGGGCGCGCGUGUUAUAGCUCGUGUUGACGCCUCCAUCCCUUUUCGAGGCCUGCGAUUCUAGGACGCUGGCGUAAUGGUUGCAAGCCGC